ACGAGAAGGAAGACAAACUCCGGCAUUGGGUUUGCUCCCUGAUUAAAGUGCCUUCAGCCAAGAUCAUCUCCCCCUCCUGGUGAAAUCUGACUGUGAAUUAGAGUUUGCGCUAUUGGAAGGUGGAACCCACUGUGCUCAUUGUAUAAGCCCUGAGGCCUAGAGUGGCAGCCAAGAGCCAUCUGGAGCCAUCUCUUUGCCUGUUCCUGUCAGGAGGCCAGGGUGGCCAGGGGUGGUGAGGGCAAUUCUGCACCCAGACAAACACAUAACAAUAAAAACCAAACUCUGUAAAAAAAAAAAAAAAAAGAAUGAAAUUAAAAACAUGAAUUACAAGAGGCUUUCAACAUCCUCUUUUCAUGUUGUUAGCAAGCC
rnacentral:lncRNA from 10 species